rnacentral:lncRNA from 1 species
AGAGCCUGAGCAAAGCUGUGAAGUCUGGAGGAUAACUGUUAGCUUUCCUACAUCCUGCAAGGAUGGUGGGUUAGCUCCUGAGUCUGACAUAUUGCUGGUCCUGUUGGAGGACUUCUGAGAAUAUUCAAGAGAUUCCAGGUGAACACCCUCCACUUUCGGAUGACUUAAUUUUUCAGGUUGGAUGGCAGGGAAAGAAGCUGGAAUGAGAUUAGACUUGGUUUAAGAUUGACUGAAAAUGAAAAUUUUUAAGGUAAGUGGCCAAGUUGUCC